rnacentral:rRNA from 1 species
GGCGUGUACUGCUUGGCUGGGCCUUACUUCUUGGUGAGCCGGCGUGCCCUUUAUUGGUGUGCGUCGGGGAACCAGGACUUUUACCUUGAGAAAAUUAGAGUGUUCAAAGCAGGCCUAUGCCUGAAUACAUUAGCAUGGAAUAAUAGAAUAGGACGUGCGGUUCUAUUUUGUUGGUUUCUAGAGUCGCCGUAAUGAUUAAUAGGGACAGUUGGGGGCAUUGGUAUUGAGUCGCUAGAGGUGAAAUUCUUGGAUUGACUCAAGACCGACUAUUGCGAAAGCAUUUGCCAAGGAUGUUUUCAUUAAUCAAGAACGAAGGUUAGGGGAUCGAAAACGAUCAGAUACCGUUGUAGUCUUAACAGUAAACUAUGCCGACUAGGGAUCGGAUGACCUCAAAAUUGAUGUGUCAUUCGGCACCUUACGAGAAAUCAAAGUCUUUGGGUUCCGGGGGAAGUAUGGUUGCAAGGCUGAAACUUAAAGGAAUUGACGGAAGGGCACCACCAGGUGUGGAGCCUGCGGCUUAAUUUGACUCAACACGGGGAAACUCACCAGGUCCAGACAUAACUAGGAUUGACAGAUUGAUAGCUCUUUCAUGAUUUUAUGGGUGGUGGUGCAUGGCCGUUCUUAGUUGGUGGAGUGAUUUGUCUGGUUAAUUCCGAUAACGAACGAGACCUUAACCUGCUAAAUAGCCAGGCCGGCUUCGGCUGGUCUCUGGCUUCUUAGAGGGACUGUCAG